GGUUAAGCGACUAAGCGUACACGGUGGAUGCCCUGGCAGUCAGAGGCGAUGAAGGGCGUGCUAAUCUGCGAUAAGCGCCGGUAAGGUGAUAUGAACCGUUAUAACCGGCGAUACCCGAAUGGGGAAACCCAGUGUGAUUCGUCACACUAUCAUUAACUGAAUCCAUAGGUUAAUGAGGCGAACCGGGGGAACUGAAACAUCUAAGUACCCCGAGGAAAAGAAAUCAACCGAGAUUCCCCCAGUAGCGGCGAGCGAACGGGGAGGAGCCCAGAGCCUGAAUCAGCAUGUGUGUUAGUGGAAGCGUCUGGAAAGGCGCGCG
rnacentral:rRNA from 1 species